rnacentral:rRNA from 1 species
UCGACGGUAACGCGGGGCAACCUGGCGACGAGUGGCGAACGGGUGAGUAAUAUAUCGGAACGUGCCCAAUAGUGGGGGAUAGCCCGGCGAAAGCCGGAUUAAUACCGCAUGAGACCUGAGGGUGAAAGCGGGGGAUUCGCAAGAACCUCGCGCUAUUGGAGCGGCCGAUAUCAGAUUAGGUAGUUGGUGGGGUAAAAGCCUACCAAGCCGACGAUCUGUAGCUGGUCUGAGAGGACGACCAGCCACACUGGGACU